AGACAGCAGCAGCCGCGGUAAUACGUAGGGUGCGAGCGUUAAUCGGUAUUAUUGGGCGUAAAGCGAGUGUAGACGGUUAUUUAAGCCAGAUGUGAAAUACCCGAGCCUAACUUGGGAGGUGCAUAUGGAACUGGGUAGCUAGAGUGUGUCAGAGGGAGGUAGAACUCCACGUGUAGCAGUGGAAUGCGUAGAGAUGUGGAAGGAUACCAAUGGCGAAGGCAGCCUCCUGGGAUAACACUGACGUUGAGGCUCGAAAGCGUGGGGAGCAAACAGGAUUAGAUACCCCUGUAGUCCCUGUCUCUUAUAC
rnacentral:rRNA from 1 species